AACAGGGCACCUGAUCCAGCAUGCCGCGUGAGUGAAGAAGGCCUUCGGGUUGUAUAGCUCUUUUGUCAGGGAAGAAACACCGGCUCUAACACAGUUCGGGAAUGACGGUACCUGAAGAAUAAGCACCGGCUAACUACGUGCCAGCAGCCGCGGUAAUACGUAGGGUGCGAGCGUUAAUCGGAAUUACUGGGCGUAAAGCGUGCGCAGGCGGUUGUACAAGACAGGCGUGAAAUCCCCGGGCUUAACCUGGGAAUGGCGCCUGUGACUGUACGGCUAGAGUGUGUCAGAGGGGGGUAGAAUUCCACGUGUAGCAGUGAAAUGCGUAGAUAUGUGGAGGAAUACCAAUGGCGAAGGCAGCCCCCUGGAGAUAACACUGACGCUCAUGCACGAAAGCGUGGGGAGCAAACAGGAUUAGAUACCCUGGUAGUCCACGCCCUAAACGAUGCUGACUAGUUGUUCGGGAUUUACAUCCUGAGUAACGUAGCUAACGCGUGAAGUCAGCCGCCUGGGGAGUACGGUCGCAAGAUUAAAAACUCAAAGGAAUUGACGGGGACCCGCACAAGCGGUGGAUGAUGUGGAUUAAUUCGAUGC
rnacentral:rRNA from 1 species